ACUCACGGGUAGAUCUCCCACCCUUGUGUAUUCAUACCUUUGUUGCUUUGGCAGGCCGCUGGGCUUCGGCCUGGCCACUGGCUCCCGGGCUGGUGCGCGCCUGCCAGGGGACCUCUAAACUCUGUUUGUCUGUGUCGUCUGAGUAUUAUACAAUCGUUAAAACUUUCAACAACGGAUCUCUUGGUUCUGGCAUCGAUGAAGAACGCAGCGAAAUGCGAUAAGUAAUGUGAAUUGCAGAAUUCAGUGAAUCAUCGAAUCUUUGAACGCACAUUGCGCCCCUUGGUAUUCCGAGGGGCAUGCCUGUUCGAGCGUCAUUUCAACCCUCAAGCUCUGCUUGGUAUUGGGCUACGCCAUCGCGGCAGGCCUUAAAAUUAGUGGCGGUGCCGUCUCGGCUCUAAGCGUAGUAACAAUCUCUCGCUCUGGAGACCUGGCGGUGCUUGCCAGACAACCACCAAUUUUUUUAUGGUUGACCUCGG
rnacentral:rRNA from 1 species